UGGGAUAAGCCUGGGAAACUGGGUCUAAUACCGGAUGCGACUACUGCCCGCAUGGGCUGGUGGUGGAAAGGGUUAUGUACUGGUCUUAGAUGGGCUCACGGCCUAUCAGCUGGUUGGUGGGGUAAUGGCCUACCAAGGCGACGACGGGUAGCCGGCCUGAGAGGGUGACCGGCCACACUGGGACUGAGACACGGCCCAGACUCCUACGGGAGGCAGCAGUGGGGAAUAUUGCACAAUGGGCGCAAGCCUGAUGCAGCGACGCCGCGUGAGGGAUGACGGCCUUCGGGUUGUAAACCUCUUUCAGCAGGGAAGAAGCGGAAGUGACGGUACCUGCAGAAGAAGCGCCGGCUAACUACGUGCCAGCAGCCGCGGUAAUACGUAGGGCGCAAGCGUUGUCCGGAAUUAUUGGGCGUAAAGAGCUCGUAGGCGGCUUGUCGCGUCUGCUGUGAAAGCCCGGGGCUUAACUCCGGGUGUGCAGUGGGUACGGGCAGGCUAGAGUGCAGUAGGGGUAACUGGAAUUCCUGGUGUAGCGGUGAAAUGCGCAGAUAUCAGGAGGAACACCGAUGGCGAAGGCAGGUUACUGGGCUGUUACUGACGCUGAGGAGCGAAAGCAUGGGGAGCGAACAGGAUUAGAUACCCUGGUAGUCCAUGCCGUAAACGUUGGGCACUAGGUGUGGGGGACAUUCCACGUUUUCCGCGCCGUAGCUAACGCAUUAAGUGCCCCGCCUGGGGAGUACGGCCGCAAGGCUAAAACUCAAAGGAAUUGACGGGGGCCCGCACAAGCGGCGGAGCAUGCGGAUUAAUUCGAUGCAACGCGAAGAACCUUACCAAGGCUUGACAUACACCGGAUCGUUCCAGAGAUGGUUCUUCCCUUUUGGGCUGGUGUACAGGUGGUGCAUGGUUGUCGUCAGCUCGUGUCGUGAGAUGUUGGGUUAAGUCCCGCAACGAGCGCAACCCUCGUUCUAUGUUGCCAGCACGUGAUGGUGGGGACUCAUAGGAGACUGCCGGGGUCAACUCGGAGGAAGGUGGGGAUGACGUCAAAUCAUCAUGCCCCUUAUGUCUUGGGCUUCACGCAUGCUACAAUGGCCGGUACAAUGGGUUGCGAUACUGUGAGGUGGAGCUAAUCCCAAAAAGCCGGUCUCAGUUCGGAUUGGGGUCUGCAACUCGACCCCAUGAAGUCGGAGUCGCUAGUAAUCGCAGAUCAGCAACGCUGCGGUGAAUACGU
rnacentral:rRNA from 1 species